rnacentral:rRNA from 1 species
GAUGAACGCUAGCUACAGGCUUAACACAUGCAAGUCGAGGGGCAUCAGGAACAUAGCUUGCUAUGUUUGCUGGCGACCGGCGCACGGGUGCGUAACACGUAUCCAAUCUGCCCGUUACUCGGGGAUAGCCUUUCGAAAGAAAGAUUAAUACCCGAUUGUAUUAUUAAGAGGCAUCUUUUUAUAAUUAAGGAUUAAUCGGUAACGGAUGAGGAUGCGUAUGAUUAGUUAGUUGGCGGGGUAACGGCCCACCAAGACGACGAUCAUUAGGGGUUCUGAGAGGAAGGUCCCCCACACUGGAACUGAGACACGGUCCAGACUCCUACGGGAGGCAGCAGUGAGGAAUAUUGGUCAAUGGACGAGAGUCUGAACCAGCCAAGUAGCGUGAAGGAUGACUGCCCUAUGGGUUGUAAACUUCUUUUGUUUGGGAAUAAAGUUAGGUACGUGUACCUAUUUGUAUGUACCAUUCGAAUAAGCAUCGGCUAAUUCCGUGCCAGCCGCCGCCGUAAGAC